rnacentral:rRNA from 1 species
UACAGAGGGUGCGAGCGUUAAUCGGAAUUACUGGGCGUAAAGCGCGCGUAGGCGGCUUUGCAAGUCGGGUGUGAAAUCCCCAGGCUUAACCUGGGAACUGCAUUCGAGACUGCAUUGCUAGAGUAUGGGAGAGGGAAGUGGAAUUUCCGGUGUAGCGGUGAAAUGCGUAGAUAUCGGAAGGAACAUCAGUGGCGAAAGCGGCUCGCUGGGACGGUACUGACGCUGAGACGCGAAAGCGUGGGGAGCAAACAGG